GAUGAACGCUGGCGGCGUGCUUAACACAUGCAAGUCGAACGGAAAGGCUCCUGCUUGCAGGGGUACUCGAGUGGCGAACGGGUGAGUAACACGUGGGUGAUCUGCCCUGCACUUCGGGAUAAGCCUGGGAAACUGGGUCUAAUACCGGAUAGGACCACAUUUUGGAUGGUGUGGUGGAAAGUUUUUCGGUGUGGGAUGAGCUCGCGGCCUAUCAGCUUGUUGGUGGGGUAAUGGCCUACCAAGGCGUCGACGGGUAGCCGGCCUGAGAGGGUGGACGGCCACAUUGGGACUGAGAUACGGCCCAGACUCCUACGGGAGGCAGCAGUGGGGAAUAUUGCACAAUGGGGGCAAGCCUGAUGCAGCGACGCCGCGUGGGGGAUGACGGCCUUCGGGUUGUAAACUCCUUUCGCUAGGGACGAAGCGCAAGUGACGGUACCUGGAGAAGAAGCACCGGCUAACUACGUG
rnacentral:rRNA from 1 species